ACUUCGCUAAUCAACUGGAUGAAUAUUGGGAAACUGAAAUUUAGCCCAGGGAUUUAUGCAUAUUUUGCUUUCUGAUAAACCCUGAUUUUCACAGAUUUAGGUCACAAAUUCUUGAAUAGCUGAGAUUCUGCGGGACGAGAAGGAAUCGUGCGAUUGAAUCACCGGUGCUGAGGGAAAAUGGCGGUCGCGAGUAAAAUCGGUGAUUGGGCUUUCAAAGCGUUCACGGCUGGGCUCGGCGUCGCCACCGUAUACAUGACCGCUACUUUCUCCCUCAAUAUCUACCGUGGUCUCGCCUGGCACAAGGAACAGAAGAAGGCGGGAAAUGAGGGAAUUUUGCAGAAGACUGAUCAAAACCCAAAUUGAUCAUAGCUCUGCCUAACCAUUGAAGCCGAGGUCUUGCAAUAAUGUUCCUUUCUGCUGUCUAGCUGGUUGAAUUUGAAUCCAACUAUCCAUGGAUUGAUUGAAUCAGGUAGACAAAUUUUAUGCAGAUGAAACGAAUGGAUCUUUCUUCUUCUUUUGAUUUAUUACAAGGAAUGUGGAAGUUUACUAAAAUAUUGUUUUUUCAAUGUUCAUUGUUACACCAAAAAACAGGCUAAUUUUUGGUUGCUAGUAGUAUCUCGUAAACCUGUAAUAUAUGCCUAGUUGGGCUGAAUAGCCUCCUUCCAUUAUUGAUUAUUGUAAGCGGCUUUAAAGAUCACUAA